GGGCCUUUAGCUUAGUGGUAAAGCGCCACUUUCGCAUAGUGGAGAGGUGGGUUCGAUUCCCGCAAGGUCCA
rnacentral:tRNA from 2 species